rnacentral:rRNA from 1 species
AUUGAACGCUGGCGGCAGGCCUAACACAUGCAAGUCGAACGAGCGGCGGACGGGUGAGUAAUGUAUGGGGACUGCCCGAUAGAGGGGGAUAACUACUGGAAACGGUAGCUAAUACCGCAUACUAUCGGAUAACCCAUAUGGGAUUAGCUAGUAGGUGAGGUAAUGGCUCACCUAGGCAACGAUCCCUAGCUGGUCUGAGAGGAUGAUCAGCCACACGGGGACUGUGACAAGGCCCAGACGCCGACGGAGGCAGCAGUGGGGAAUAUUGCACAUGGGGGGCAAGCCUGAUGCAGCCAUGCCGCGGGUAUGACGAAGGCCCUAGGGUUGUAAAGUACUUUCAGUCGGGAGGCGUUACCGACAGAAGAAGCACCGGCUAACUCCGUGCCAGCAGCCGCGGUAAUUC